rnacentral:tRNA from 1 species
GCGGGUAUAGUUCAGUUGGUUAGAACGCCAGAUUGUGAUUCUGGAGGUCGCCGGUUCAAGUCCGGUUACUCGCCCCA